UUGCGUUCCCCCCCCGGUGGGCGUGGUUUUCAAAUUUGCAUAACUGCGCUCUAGUUUGAUUGGCAGGGGUAGUAACCAAUCAUGAAACGAUUACAAGGAUUCAACUUACGUCAGUAAAGUGUACUUCUGCGCAAAUCUACAGAAGCGCAUGGAGAGAAAUGCCCACGCCCCCUUCGUGCACGUUUGUUUGUUUGGGUAGCAUAGCAGCCGGCUAGGCUCUCCGGAGCCGCUGAGAAACCUCUCCAAAGGUUAGAAAUAUCAUCUCCAUCGUGGAUCAUCGCCUGCAGAUGACUUUUUUUGUGUUGAGAGUGUUUUGGAGAAGUUGAUAAAGAGCACGAUUGCGGAGCAAAAAUACAAGACUGGAUAUAACUUAAACAAACCGCGUCGUCGACGAGAGAUGGACCGGACUAUGGAUAAACUCUUCCACCAGAAAGGAGGACAGCUAGCAAAAAGACUUCAAACAAUUAACUUAAUGAUCAAAUGACAGAAGGCAUGGAUGAAGUCAGCAUCAGUGAGGUCAUUUGAAGACACCACUGUUGGGAUUUGUGCUCUCAAACAACAUGCUUCUUGUGAUGAAGAAGAGGAUCUUUGUAUAGUCCUGGAUGCCAUGAAGGUGUUGCAACAUCUUGCCAUGUUGUUUGGGCUGAUGUAUGCCUUAAACCUCAGCUAUCCUGGUCUCUGCUUUAUUUUUGAGGAAAUCCAAAAGAUUUUAAUGGAACUGCAUUGAGUGUAACUUUAACAAACAGUUUCUUUCAGUGAAAGGAUCAGAAAGACUGUGCUGCUCAUAUUUUACUUUGUUUAUCUGUUUUAAGUGUUUUCUCUUAUUAAUACAUUAACAGUUUGCUGCUCAGAGUUGAUUUUGAAAAAUGGCUGUUGUAUUUUCUUUUUGUUGAAUCUUUGAUUAACAGUUUAUACAAAUGUUCUAGCUCUGACUUUCUGAAGGACUGAUAUUUUAAAAAUAAUAGUACUUUUGCGGUGUGUUCAGUACAACUGUUUUGCAUGUCUCUUUGGAAUGCAGUGUUUGUGCUUUUGCACUUCUAAAUCUAUUGUGAUAGUAACUAUUUUUAACAAUUUGGUCAGUUUUACAGAUGGGGCUUUUCCUAGUCCCAGACUUUUGGGAUGCCUUCAUUUGAAAAUAUCUUGACACAUCAGUGCCAUUGUUUUGUCUCAAGAUGUAAGUGUUGUUUUGUAAGGUAGGUUUGUUUGUAAACUUUUUUUGUAAAAUAUCCUAAUAUAACUAAGGCCCAGUCCUGGAUUAAUCUACAACCUGUCUAGGAAACUGCCCCUUUAUGUAUGUACUCCAUGUGCUGAUUGUUGUAAUAGUUAUUGACUGUUAAUACUGUUUACAGACUGAUAAAAUUAAGUAAAUUGAAUUAUUUUUUUCAGUGUAUGAGUGCGUGUGUGUUUUUGUAAAUAAAAAAAAUAAACUUUUUGUAAAACA